AGGAAAGAGGCAAGUUCCUCUACCUAAAGUGAGUUAGAGAAGACUUAAGAUUCAAGACCUUAAACGCUGUGUGCUGCAUUCACAGAGGAGUGAUACAUUAUCAGAGAUACCCUGUAUCUUCAGUGGUCUUCUGCAAUAUCGGAAUUGUACAGUCUGGAUAAAGAUGGGUUGAAAUGCUGCCUGGACUGCUGAGAAUUCUGAUAUUUUCUCUGAAAUUCUGUGGACAAUUGUACCGUUCGCACUAAAUCAUUUUUGGACAGUGCACCAGACUGCCAUGUAGUAAUGUCUCCAUGCAUCCUGGGCUUCCAGCUGUCAAGCUUCCCACGCCGUGGCAGUGAGAAAUAAUUGGUCGUAUCUCAGUCCUCAGUGCUGCCGCGGGCUGUGGCUUGUGAUACCACUGAGUGACCUCGUUAUCAGUGCUGACUCUGGGAAAAUAGAAGAACUCAAGGGUCAAGCUUCUUGUACCGACAUAUUUAGUAAACUAAAUGCCAUUAGUCCUGUAUAUUAUUUUUAAGCUACUACUAUAAAUUUACUUUUCAGUUAGGGUCAUAGCUCUACAGCACAGAAAUAAACCCUUCAUCCCAUCGAGUACCUGACUAGCUAUCUGCCUAGUCCCAUCGAUUUGCACCUGGACCAUAACCCUCCAUAUUUUGUCAAAUUUCUCUUAACUAUUGAAAUCGAACCUUCAUCCAUCACUUCCACUGGCAGCUCGUUCCACACUCUUGCCACUCUCUGAGUGAAGAAAUUCCCCCUCAUGUUCUGCUUAAACAUUCAUCUUUCACUCCUAACCCAUGAUUUCUAAUUGCCUCUGGCUUUGACUUUUACGGACCAUUUCAGAGGCUCACAGACACAUCUCUUCCCGCCAUUGGUAGUAUCUCCAAGAGGUGCUGCCUCAAGAAGUCAACAUCGAUCAUCAAAUUGUUUCAGCCUGAAACAUCGACGGUACAUUUUUCCAUAGAUGCUGGCUGGCCUGCUGAGUUCCUCCUGCAUUUUGUGUGUGUUGUGUGUGUUGCAUCAAUGAUCCCUGCCAUCGAAGCCAUGUCAUCUUUUAGCAGCUGCCUUUGGGCAGAAAGUACAGAAGCCCAAAGUCCCACACCUUCUGGUUCAAGAACAGUUACAUCCUUUUAACCACAAAAAUACAACUGCAGAUGCUGUGGAUUAAAGAAUACACACACGAUGCUGGAAGAACUCAGCAGGUCAGGCAGCAUCCGUGAGAAAAGAGUAGCCAACGUUUCAGGCCGAGACCCUUCAUCAGGAAUGGGGGGGAAGAGAGGACCAAACCACAGUAAUAGAGAUAGGGGAGGGGGUAGCGCCAUAGAGGCACCAGGUGGAAAACCAAUCAGAGGAAAGAUAAAGGGGGGAGUGUUGUGUUCGCAUCCUUUUAACCACUUAGUUGUUGAACCAACUGACGACAAAAUCCUAAUCACUACAGUUUAACAGCAGUAUGACCACUUUGAUCACUUUGCACUAAAAUGAACUUGCUUUUUUUCUUCGAAUUGUGUUUUUUGUAAAACAUGCGCAUACUUUAUAUUCAAUUGAUGUUUUCUUGUGAAUCUUCUAAUGUAAUGCUUUGUGCCUGUGAUGUUGCAAAGGUUAAGUUUCUUGUUGCACCUGUGUAUAAAUUGUUGCUUCCAGUGUGUAACGGUGCGUAUGACAAUAAGCUUGACUUUGAAUGGCGAUUGCCCAUCCGGGUUCUAUUUAUUUUCAUUAGUCCUCAGGGGUUUAGAGAAUCUAAAUAUUACAGGAGACCAUUCUUCCAUUGUGUCCAUGUUUCAUUGAUAGAUUCCCUCAGUGUAAUUCUUGUGCAAACAAAAUCACAUGCUUGCACAACCUUACAAUGCCACUUCACAAGUUCUCUUUCUGUAUGGGGAAACCAAUUGCAGCAGCUAUUGAAUAUUUAACUAACUGGUAGAGAUCUGCAUGAGGCUGCAUUGCAAUCAGAAAUAUUGGGGGCAUUAGUAUGACAACAGAUCUGGAACCAUACCUCUGCUCUCCUUCCUUGGGCCAACUGGGGGCUUUAGCUUCAGUUCCAGUCCUGUCUGUCAGAAUUAACACUUGAGAUCUGCACCAUCAUUUGGUUUUAUGUGCAGACGACUCUUCAUGGAGCCUCUGACAUGAGAUAGAAAAUCGGAGCUUCCUAUUUGCUCAGGUACCUAAGCACAUUCUUCUUAAGCCCAACAUCGGUGUGUUCCAGACCCACAAGUCUGAGUCACCAUUACGUGGAUCACCAACAGCUCUGUUGUCUCUGGAAGAGCUGAGGAUCUUCAUUCCUUGAUAUUGUUUGCUGCUCGUCCGAAGAUCACGGCCACCACCAGCAGCAGAACUGCAAUAGCUCAGCAUCAGUUGAGUUCACUGGUUCAUAAACCAACAGAUGUUAGAUUUCCAUAUGAAUCCAACAACUCCUUUGUAAAUCAAAUGAGAUAAUCCCUGCCAUUCAACUGUUCAAGAUAAAAUCAGUCAUCAUUAAUCUUUCUGAGUGUUUUGGACGCAUCAUUGAAGAUCUAUUUUAAGAACUGUAUCCUGUAUAAUACAUUACCAGAAAUAAAUAUCUAUGCUUUAAUAAUCUCCCAUAAAUUGGCACACACGUGUGCAUAUAAUGUAUAUUUCCUCUGAUCACACAUUGCUAGAUGCAAAACAUCUCUCAACAGAUUAUAUUUUAAAUGCAUAGUAAAGUAUGGAAAUCUAAGCAGUGGAAAAAAUAUGUGGUUAAAUA